GACGAACGCUGGCGGCGUGCUUAACACAUGCAAGUCGAGCGAGGUCCAUCCAGUGGCAACACUGGUGAAGACCUAGCGGCGAACGGGUGAGUAACACGUGAGCAAUCUGCCCCGAAGACUGGGAUAACACCGGGAAACCGGUGCUAAUACCGGAUGUCCUCCUCUGGUCGCAUGGCCUAGGGAGGAAAUGGAUUCCGCUUCGGGAGGAGCUCGCGGGCUAUCAGCUUGUUGGUGAGGUAACGGCUCACCAAGGCGACGACGGCUAGCUGGGUCUGAGAGGACGACCAGCCACACUGGGACUGAGACACGGGCCCAGACUCCUACGGGAGGCAGCAGUGGGGAAUCUUGCGCAAUGGGCGAAAGCCUGACGCAGCAACGCCGCGUGGGGGAUGAAUGCCUUCGGGUU
rnacentral:rRNA from 1 species